UCGCGGGGUAGUUGAAAUAGAACACUCGUAAGUGCUUUCUGUUGUGAACGAGUUUAUUUAUUUUGAGUUGGAAUAUGUCAUAGGCACGACAGACAUCUGACUCCUUUUGCAAAUCGAGCUCUGAAUUUAAAUUCCUGACUAUUGAUUUAAAAGCCAGUUGUUUAUGUAAAUAAUAAUUUUGUGAAGAGGAAAAACAAAAGCAUAUUACAUAAUUUAAAUAACGUAAAUAUAAAACAUGACAGAAGCAAAAAAGGAUGAUUGCCAUGAUGGAAAUAUUGGGAAUGUAGGAAGUUUUGACACGCAAAAUUCGAAAGAAGUUUACUUUCAGGUUUUAAGAACAUGGAUAAACCAAGCAAAUAUGGCUCAGUCUGCUAUGGCGUAUUUCCCGUAUUAUUUAAUGACCAAUUAUUCUCAAUUACUACAACAGAACUCAAACAAUUCAACGCCUAAUAUAAACAAUUUUGCAACAUCAAACAACAAUGGCAGAAUAAAUGAAAUUGAUGGUAGACUAAAUGAUAUUGCGGAUGUGGAAUUGCGUCAAGAACAAAUUAUAAACCAGAAUGGAGGUUACGAAUUUAUAAUUGCUCCUUUUUGGAAGAGACUUCUAGCUGAAACAAUCGACGUCGCAAUUUUAUUACUCCUUAAACUAAUCAUUACAUUUUUAAUAGUCGAUCUUUUCGAUUUAGAUCUUGGAAUAGAUUUUGAUUUAGAUGCGUUGAAAAAAUCAAUUGAGGAUGACUAUACAGAAUUCUUGUCUUUAUCGUCAGAUCUUUUAUUUUUGGAAGUAGUAACAAAGGUUGGAGUGUGUAUAUAUGAAGCGCUUUGGACUAUGAAUGGGAAUGUUUACGUUGGCGGGGCUACUCCUGGUAAAGUAUUACUUGGCUUGAGGAUAGUUCAUGUAGAAGCUGUUGUUCCACUACAGGCGCAAGUGGGUUUAAAUUUAAAUAACGGACAGCCUAUGAGGGCAUUACUAUAUCCGGCAUCAAAUCUUGGUUUCAGACGAGCUUUUUUACGUGCUAUAGCAAAAAAUAUUUUGACAGCUUUUCUAUUUCCAAUGUGUUUUAUUAUGAUAUUCUUUUUUUUCAAAUCAAAUCGAACAAUUUAUGAUUUAAUGUCCAAAACAAUUGUAGUUGAGGAAAACCAUGCUCCAUUGCUACGCAGACGCUAAUUUCAGUUUUAUUAUAAGAAGCAUAAUUAUUGUGAUCUUAAUACUUUUUUAACUGAUUGAUUUAAAAAUCCUUCUUAUUGUUUAUUAUGAUACAUUUUCGACUAACUUAUAAGCUAAGAAGAAUUAACACAUCUUUAAAAUUGUCUUUCCCAGACAUGGAAAUUGGCAUGAACAAUUUGCAAGGAGAUGAAUGGGUUUGAUUUAAU